AAGGAGACGCUGACAGGGAGCGCUGCCGCCUCUGAUUGGCCGCCACGGCAGCUCGUUCUACCUGGCGGGACGCACGCGAAGGCCGCCAGCGCACUGACCCGUGAUUGGCCGGGUCGCGCGGUGCGUGGCCGCCGUAGGGGAGGGAGGAGGUCGCUGCGCCUCAGCGACGGCCAAGCUGGCGGCGCGGCUCCCCCGCUCCCGCUCGAACCCGCGGCUCGUCCGUGCCCGCGGCCACUCGCGGCUGGGUCGGUCCCGCACGUCGCUGUCGCUGACCCCGCCGCCCGUGCCGUCCCUGCCGCACCCGCCGCUGCCGGGCCUGCCGCCCGGCCUGAGCCCCACGCCGCCGCCGCCGCCGCCCUCGGCGCUCGCCCUGGCGGAGCUGCCGCCUCUGCCCGCGCUUCCGCUGCGGCCCGAGCCGCUGGCACCCUGGGGCCCCGGCGCCCACCUGGCGCUGCCGGAGCUGCCUCCCGAGGCCUGCGUGCCCGCGCCGCCCGCCGCCGCGCUCGCGCUGCAGGACCUGCCGCGCCUACCGGCGCCCGCGCCGCCGCCCGCGCACCUGCCGCUGCCGCCGCUGCCCGAGGCCGCCGUCGCCGCCACGCCCGGGCCUGUAGGCGCGCGCGGCCGCCCGCCCCUGGUCGCCGAGCCGCCCCCGCAACCGCUGCCGCCGCUGCCCGCGCGGCCUUCGCCCUCCAACCUGCUGGCGCCGCCCGCGCCCCGCGCCCCCUGGCUGCUGCCCGCCUUCCCUCCGCCGCUGCCGCCGCCGCCGCGGACGCCGCCGCCGUACCUCUUCCUGUCGCCUCCCUGCUGAUGGCCUGGCCCUUGCGAGGCCGUGGACCCCGAGGGGCUGCGGGCGGCGAGCCUCUUGCCUGGUUAUUUGAGAAUGUAACUCAUACCUUGUGCAGAGAAGUUGGCUGCUUAUCCGGCGCGGUGGGGACAGGGGCACACGGUGCUUGGCUUGAAAUGAAAACAAGACUUCAAAAUGUUCUGACUGGGUAUGCAAGGUGUUUCAUUUUCCCUUAUAAAGUGAGGGGUUUGGAUGUCAUCACUAAGGUCCUGUUCUUUUGCGUGUGUAUGGCUUCUGGGAAACUUGCUGCCUUGCAAGCCUUGAGUCCAACUUUCUUUUCUUGUUUUUAAUGUUUAUUUAUUUUUGAGAGACAGAGCAUGAGCAGGGGAGGAGCAGAGAGAGGGGGAAACAAAGAAGCCGAAGCAGGCUCCAGGCUCUGAGCUGUCCGCACAGAGCCCGACGCGGGGCUCAAACUCACCAAACAUGGGAUCGUGACCUGAGCUGAAGUCUGACGCUUAACCCACUGAGCCACCCAGGUGCCCUUUGAGUCAGACUUUGGACUGAAAGAGAUCCAAGGAUUGUGCAGGUCUGGAUGCACCAGAAUAGCAGCGGUGCUGAUGGACAACCGAUACUGGGCCCUGGAGCAGCAGCCUCACAUGCAAGGCCUAGGUCAUCCCCAGGGACGGGAAGGCUCCCAAGGUGAGUCAUGAAAGGAAGCCCCUAUUCUGUC
rnacentral:lncRNA from 1 species